CCAAUAGCGUAUAUUAAAGUUGUUGCAGUUAAAAAGCUCGUAGUUGAAUUUCGGGGUUAGUAGGUUGGUCAUGCCAUCGGUAUGUACUGGUCUCACUGAUUCCUCCUUCCUGAUGAACCGUAAUGCCAUUAAUUUGGUGUUGCGGGGAGACUGGACUGUUACUUUGAAAAAAUUAGAGUGUUUAAAGCAGGCUAACGCUUGAAUACAUUAGCAUGGAAUAAUGAAAUAGGUCGUUCGAUCCUAUUUUGUUGGUUUCUAGGAUUGACGUAAUGAUUAAUAGGUAUAGUUGGGGGCAUUAGUAUUCAAUUGUCAGAGGUGAAAUUCUUGGAUUUAUUGAAGACUAACUACUGCGAAAGCAUUUGCCAAGGAUGUUUUCAUUAAUCAAGAACGAAAGUUAGGGGAUCGAAGACGAUCAGAUACCGUCGUAGUCUUAACCAUAAACUAUGCCGACUAGGGAUCGGAUGAUGUUAAUUUUUUAAUGACUCAUUCGGCGCCUUACG
rnacentral:rRNA from 1 species